AGCGGCCCAGCUGGUCUGCCAUGUGUGCCUGGCUUGGGUAAAGGUAGCGCUGCGAGUGCCUGUGUUAGCUCUGGGUUUGAGAGCUCCUGUGUCUUGUGUGUCCCAGAGCUUGAAUUGAGCGUUAAGAGCUGCUACCCCUGUUGGCACAGCAGACCAGGCAGCCAGAAUUCCCCUCGUGCUUCCCCUGUGCCCCCGCUCACCGCAGGAGUGAGGUUGAACGCCAGUAACGUCACCCUUGGGCUGCGAGGUGGGUCGGCGUGGGAUGGGCUCUGCCGCCAUGGGGCAGCUUGCUUUGCUCUUCCAGAGCCCGAAUGUUUAACUGUGGCACCUCGGGAAAGAAAUUCGAGGGGCAGAGCUGGGGUCUUGGUUCUCCUGGACCCUUUGCACUCGUGCUCCGAAGCACCGAAAACCAGGGCGAGCUUGGCACUAUGUCCAGGACUGCCCUGUGACUGCGGUGGGGUGGCUGUUGGCCUGAGCCUGCAACUCGUUUUCCGUGAAAGCUCCUCGGAGGAAGAAUUGUCUCCCUUGGAAAACUGGCUUGUCUUCCAUCAAGUGGGAGAAGGUGGCACUGGUCUGCAGCUGGCCUUUAUGGGCGAGCACAGCGUAAAUACGGAUUACCGGGUAGGGACCAAAGCUUCUGAGACAGAAAAACAGUCAGUUGGGAUUGCUUCUUGAAUCUCCGUCUCAGUGUAGCUCAGCUGCUCUUUCAUUGCAAAAAUAAGGAUGGUGGUGACUUUUUUUUUUUUUUUAAUUUUGGAGCUGUUUGCUGAUGUGACUAAAGCUGCAGCAGUGUUUUGAGAGCGUAGGGUUCAGGCGCUUCCCCGCUGCGGUUCCGGGAGGCUGUUUGCGAUGCCUUCCCUUUGCUAUCCCGUGCUUGCACAGUCUAAGCAUUGCAUUUUCAAUGCACCUUUGUGAGGGGGUGUGCGUGAGCAAAACCAGUUUGUGUCUCUAAAUGUGCUCUGUGCCCACCUGGGAGCCCUCCCCCUAGCCCUGGUUGUUUUGGAGCAUCUCUGCUGGCGCUUGGAGGGGAGUCUGGCGCCUGUCAGCGCCGCAGGCGUGGUGGCGCUGCCCGGGCCGUGGCUGUGGCGGGAGCUGUGGCCUCCAUUUGUAUCCGCGCCUUCAACUCCCGCAGCCAAGGCGCUUUCCCUGCUCCGGGCUCAGCCCGGGGGUGUUUCCAUCUCCUCGGCGGGGCGCAGCCUUGGCUCCCGGCGCUACACACGCCCUGCGGCCGGCUCCUGCUGGGGCUGCGGCCCCGGGGCGGAGGGGGGGCGCGGGAAGGGGGCGAGGGCCGCAGCCCCCGUCUCCCUCCGUCCCCCUCACGCCCCUGCCCCUCUCAAAGAUGGCGGCCGCCUGGCUGCCGCCCCCCUCCUCCGACGUGGCCGCGGGGCCCGGCCCCGCCCCUCCCGGCCCCUCCCUGCCCUGCUCAAAGAUGGCCCCGGGGCAGCCACGCCCCCCGCUCCACGUGGGGCCGUGCGGCCGUGCGGCGGCGCCUCCCGGCAGGACGCGCGCGGCGCGAUGGUCGCGCGGGGGCUCCGCGCGCUGCGCUG
ensembl:lncRNA